UGAUAAUAUUAAUAGUAAAGUUUGUUCACAGCAUCCAUCUCUCGCUUGAAGUCAACCAUUGCAACUCUUGGCAACGUCAUGAUCACUUUAACUCCACCUUCCAUUGAUGGAUCAAGUUGUGAAGGUCUCAAGAUCAUCCCUAUAUGCACUGCACUCUUCUGCUCGGUCAAUGGCCGCAGAGUCACUGGCUCAUUCCAACCAAAGUCCAUUGAUCCGAACCAACCAAUAUUCCUCCAGUCCGUCAGGAACAAUAGUCCAUCACUUACCCCUUCGAACUUUGCAUCAUCCCUCAUCAAUCUCUCCGUGUUCUUUAGCUCUUCCUCGAGAUAUCCCUUGUCAUAAGCUGUUUUCUUGGCUUUCUUCACGUGCUUAGCAAUGUCAGAGAUUGAUGCUUCUUGGAGUUCUCUCACGGUUAACUCGAUAUAGACAUCUAUGUAGGCGUUACCGUAGAAUCCUUUAGGAAGUGGCGGAUCUAAAACAUGUCGGAUUCCAACAGCUAUGCCCAGGAAAGUGAUCCCGUCAAGGUUUAGCUUCAGGGCUCGAGAUCUUGCUUUCCAUAUGCAAGAGCUAAGUACUUCAUAAGUUGUGAAACCCUCUUUUGGGUACCCGCACUUUCUCAUCAAAGAGUCUUUAAGCCUCUUUAUAUUCCUAGCUCGAAUGUUUAUUGUCUCCGUUACCUGUUGGAUAGAGAAUGGAAGAGAUCACUUUAGCUAAAAUAUAAAAAAUUUCUAUAUAAUCACAUCAACUCUUAAGUUUCUUUGUAUUUGCAAGAACGUCGAGUGAAUUCCUUGAAAACAUCAAUUAUAUUAAAUUUUCCUUAUUUAAUCUAAUGUCUGAUGGUGUUUCAAAAAAAAAAGUGUUUCAAAAAAAAAAAAGUGUUUCAAAAUUAUAAUGUCUGAUGUCAAAAAAAAAAAAACUAAUGUCUUUUUUAAACUAUAUAGAAAUUACAAAUUAUAAUCAAAAAUAAAAUAUCAAUCACAAAAUUGUUGAAGUUAAUGGGAGAACAACAUACCAUAUCACUAGUUGGAAUAUAUGGUGAGGUGGCUAAAAGACUAGUAAUAUGGCCACCAGGCACUUUGGCCAAUUCAUUAUCAAAUUGUCCGACCAACCGCUCUCUCUGCCACACCGGCUUCACCGUUGGCUCUCUCUUUCCUGCAGCCAACUCGGUUAAAGCAUGGAUGAUCUGAGCCACUCCAAAUCCAUCACAUACGGCGUGAGUCAACGCCGUGCCGAUGGUGAAUCCUCCGCAUGCGAACUUGGUCACCUUUGAAAAAAAAAUCAAAGGGAACAAUUGGUUAUCUUAAUUAUGUGUGAUCCACACUACGAAGAAAACAUUACUCUUACAAAACUGAGAGUUUACAGAGAUUAUUAUCUAAUCUUCAAGAAAAUGAUAUACUUAUUGCAGUUUUUUUUCAAAGAAAAGACUAUUUUUAUUUAUUUUUAUUACCAUGGAACUUCAUGGCCUAACUCAUAAUAGCUACCUGCAAAGCUAGUGGAUGAUAAGAGACGUUGCUAUCGUAGUCUAUUUCGAUAUCAGGCACAAGGCGCAAAGCAAAUUGGUCAUCAAGAUUUUCUAUAUAGUUUAGAGAGGAUAGCUUGAGGGCUGCAGUAGCGACCUCAAAUGGAACUCCCUUACCCCAAAAAACUAGCUGAAGUUUUCGAUCACUCUCUCGUCUCAUGAGCUUGCCUGAAAGGGGAUAGUAGUAGACAAGAAGUUCGGACAAAGCCUUCCUAAGCAAAGGGACAGGAUCAUUUCGGUUCUUUUCGUUGGCUUUGAAAACGUAAAUCGUUGCGUACAUAACUUCAUUGAAAAGAUCAUUGUCCAAAGUAGAAAGGGAGAGAGUUUCAGAAGGAGUGUGUUUUGAGGGUUUAAUAAGCUCAAGUGGUUUCUUUUCGAGUAAUAGAGGUAAGAUCAGUUUUGUUUGGUUUGCCAUCUCUUACCAGUUUAGAGUGUCUACGAUCCGUAUGAUUUUUUAUAUCUUGCAUUAUCUUUUAUUUAUUGGAGUUUUAAAUCAUUUAGUGUUCUUUAGUCAUAAGUAUCUUGCAUUAUCUUAUUUUAAUUUUACUUUGCUUUCAUGCAAUUAGUCUAAUAUUGUAAGCAGAUAAAUAUGAUAAGAUGAUUAAAAUAUGAUGCAAAAUCUUGUAUUUUAUCAAAUAUUCCACUAGAUAGAACAAGUGCAUGUUUUUUAUGUGAUCAUCGGGUUACGGUAAUCAGCUGGUGGAUCACCUAACUGGCAAGAACUUGAAAAUCACCAGGACAAGAUUAUCCAGUUCACCGAUAACUAAGAUUAAAGAAUACUUGCCAGUCAAAUAAAAAAGGAACAUUGUGAUGUAUUACACAAAGAAAAGCACUAAACAUUGUACUUUAGUAUAUGAACCAUGCAAAUACAGAGAUACAUUCCUAAGCUUUUUCAGCUCUCCUUUUUUUGUGUGCAGUAAAUCAUUCUCUUAAAAUAUAAUAAUUUAUAUGGUUAAAACUUAAAAGUAAGUUAAAAAUUUAGAGAAUAUUUGAAACUUUUUUAUUAAGAAAAAAUUUCAUCCUUUUUGUUAUUUUUUUUUUUGGUUUGAGAGAGAACUAUUCUUUUCUAUAUGAACAAGAACGACAUGCAUGUCGUAUUCGCAAACACAAAACGGAGGGUUUUCGAAACCAUUCGCACACUUUCAAAACGAAGUCGUUUGAGAGAUAACUGGAUAGUAGUACAAAGUUCUCUCUCCUUAACCCAAAAACUCAUCUAUCAUCCAUGGCGCUGUGCCACUUCCCAGUAAACCUCCACACUGUUCCCUCCUCUUCAUCAUCUUCUUCCUUUCACCCUCUAUUAUACUCUAACCUUUGGAUUCGUAAACUUAGAUUCCACCCCUUCAGCCACGCAGUUCAAUUGAGCGCCAUCAGAGCCGCCGCCACUGAUGUCGACACUCACCCGAGGAAGAAGAAGAAGAAGAGGAAACCCAAACCGGGUUUCUUCGAAGAGAUCAACGACAAAUGGUCUUCCCGAAUCAGCCCCAAAGACGGCAACUUUCCUUGGCAGAUGAAGCACGAAGAGCAAACUCAACCUCAUCAUCAGGAAGAAGAAGAAGUAAACCGGUCUUCUGAGUUAACCGGUAAGAUAACCGAUUCCAAUCUCCGGUCUAGCUUCCCAAGGCCAAGCGGUUACAUGUCUGCUCCAUGGGUUAACGAUAAUGUCUCUAAACCCGUUAAAGAUGAAAGCUUUAAGGAAAAUAGAUAUAGAAAGGAGAAUGCUUUAGACUUAGAUGAUGAUGGAAGAGGGAUGGUGGUAGAAUCAGGGAGAGACAAAGGAGUAUGGAGAAGUAGGAAGAGUAACACUGCAGAGGCCGAGAAGAUUGUACCGGAACAUGAGCUGAGUAGGCUUAGGAGUGUAGCUUUGAGGAUGGUUGAGAGAGUCAAAGUAGGUUCUGCCGGAAUUGCACAGGCUUUGGUUGAAGCCAUUCACGAGAAAUGGGAGGAUGAUGAAGUUGUGAAGCUGAAGUUUGGUGAGCGUUGUGCGCUUAACAUGAAGAGAACUCACGAGACUUUGGAGAAGAAGACCGGUGGGUUAGUGAUCUGGAGGUCAGGAAGCUCGGUGGUGCUGUACAGAGGGAUAAGUUACAAUCUCAAGUGUGUUCAAUCUUUCAUCAAACAGAACGAUGAAGUGGCAAGGGAGUACAGAGCAGAGGAGGCGAAUUAUCCGAAGAAUGUACCUAAAGAGCAGUUAUCAGAGCUAUGCGAGCUGAACGAUCUGUUGGACGAGAUUGGUCCAAGGUUUCAUGAUUGGACAGGGUGUGCUCCUUUGCCCGUUGAUGCAGACUUGCUUCCUCCGAUGGUUCUAGGAUACAGGUGUCCGUUUAGGGUUCUUCCUCAAGGAGUUAAACCUUGUUUGUCUAACAAGGAGAUGACAGAGAUGCGUCGCCUCGCUAGGACUAGCCCUCCUCAUUUUGCUCUAGGGAGGAGCAGAGAGUUACAAGGUCUGGCUGUGGCAAUGGUGAAGCUAUGGGAGAAGAGCGCGAUUGCGAAGAUAGCAAUCAAACGCGGCGUGGAGAACACACGGAACGAGAGAAUGGCUGAAGAGCUCAAGAGGCUUACGCGCGGCGUGCUCGUUUCGAGGAACAAAGAGUACAUCGUCUUCUACAGAGGCAACGACUUCAUGCCUCCCGCGGUUUCAGAGGCGUUGAGGGAGAGGCAAAAGGAGAUAACGGAGGUGCUUCAGAACAAAGAGGAUCAACUCCGGGAAACGGCUUCAGCAAGAGUCACACUUGUAUCGCAAGGCAAGCCGACUAGAAAAAAAACGCCGUUGCUUGCUGGAACUCUUGCUGAGACUAUAGCUGCUAGUUCGCGGUGGGCGCCAGAUGCGAGUAGUGUUGAUGUAGAGGAGUUGAAGAGAGAAGCAGCUUCUAUUAAAAGAGCUGCGUUGAUCAGAGAUCUCGACUUGAGACUUCUUUACGUGAGUAUUUGUUAUUAUCACACUUUUAUCUGAUUACAAGUAUUUGGUGAUCUUUAUCUUUUGUUAUGUAAGGCAAAGCAAAAGCUGAAAAAAGCUGAGAAGGCUUUAGCUAAAGUGCAGAAGGAUCUUGACCCAUCUGAUCUCCCAACUGACUCAGAGAUCAUCACAGAAGAAGAGAGACUUCUUUUCCGCAGAAUCGGUUUGAGUAUGGAUCCAUUUCUCCUCGUAGGUAAGCUCAAAGACUCUUAAAGCCAUUACUAUCUGUAUAAGAAAAUGCGAAUGUUCAUUUUCCUUUAAACGUUUUUACAGGAAGAAGAGAAGUGUUUGAUGGCACUAUAGAGAAUAUGCAUCUACACUGGAAACACAGGGAGCUCGUAAAGAUUAUCGUUAGAGGCAAAUCUCUUCCCCAAGUGAAGCAUAUAGCUAUCUCUUUAGAGGCUGAGAGUGGAGGAGUGUUGGUGUCGGUUGAUAAUACCUUGAAAGGCUAUGCGAUCAUACUCUACCGUGGGAAGAAUUAUCAGAUGCCUUUCCGGCUUAGGCCUUCAAAUUUAUUGACAAGAAAAAAGGCUUUCGCUCGAUCCAUUGAGCUUCAGAGAAGAGAAGUAAUGAAUGAUAAAAAAAAAAUUUACAAUAUAACUUGUGUGGAAAGUUUCUGUUAUGAUCAAUAUUGGCCUCUCUCUCUUUGUUUGGACAGGCACUAAAGUAUCAUGUUGCUGACCUAGAGGAACGGAUUGAGCUGUUGAAGACAGGACAGGUUUGUUGAAAUCUGAUUGCUUUUUAUAGUGGACCAAUAUACUUCAAACUCCCGCCUAGGCGGCAAAUUAGGCCUAAGUGAAACGAUUUUAUAGAAUGGUUAAAAAUAGUCUAGAAGUUUAAAAAAUCGGUCUGGCAAUUUGAUCCUAAGUGAAAUGAUUUUAUUGAAUGUCUAACUAAACAAUAAUCCUCAAUAAAACGUUAAACUACCGCAUAUUGAUUUUUGAAAAUUGCUACUGAAUGAAUAGAAUAAACUAUCAUAUGAUAUCCAGGAGGAGGAUAGGGAACCCCACAAGAAAAGUGAUGGAGAGGAAGAUAACUUGUAUUUGAGAGUUGAUGAAUCUGAUUAUUCUUCUGACGAGGUAAAGUAAUAUCCUCCUCAAGGUUCUUGAUGAAGAUUUGCAACAUUACUUAGAAACCAUGGCAGUCUCUGAAAUUGCUUCUUGUGAAUCAGGAUGAAUCUUUCUUAUCAUUGGAGGAAGAGGAGGAAGAAACUUGAACCGAUAAACAAAUAUAACCUCAUAUUUUGUAUAACAAUGUCAGAACCUGUAAUGAUAAAUUUUCAGGUUCCGCAAUGAAAAUAAUAGAUGUAGUUACAUUAUUACAUAUUUUAAUUUGCAUAUAACACUCACAUAUUCACUUUUAUUCUUUUCACGUAAAGAAAGUUCAUAUGCAUGGAACUAAAGUUUGUUCAUAGCAUCCAUAUCUAGCUUGAACUUAACCAUUGCAUCUCUCGGUAACGUCAUGACCACUUUAACUCCACCUUCCAUUGAUGGGUCUAACUUAGAAGGUCUCAAGAUCAUCCCUAUAUGCAUUGCACUCUCCCUCUGAGUCAACGGCCUCAGAUUCACCGGCUCAUUCCAACCAAAAUCCAUCGAUCCAAACCAACCAAUAUUCCUCCAAUCCGUCAAGAAA
rnacentral:lncRNA from 1 species